GGGGUGCACCGAACCACUAUACUUCUUGUGUGUUUGUAUUGCCUUGUUUGUGUUUUCAAUUUCACAUAUGCAUUUGACACUAACUAAAUCACACACACAUCCAUUAAGAAAAGUUAAGAUCGAAAGAAUUUAGAAAACCCAAUUCACCCUCUCCUCUUGAGUUGUCACAUUGGGCAACACAUGGGACAGGAUAUAAGUUACAAAAGUAUAAUGUUUGUUUAUUACUAGUGACCUGAUAUUUUUCUCCCCAAUUAAUGUGAAUUUUGUUAAUAUUUUGCCUUACUUCAUCAAGUGGUUAUGCCAAAUGGUUUUUAACCUACUAAUUUUGUGAUAUUGAACCUUUUGGUCACUGGUGUAAUUCUUGUUGAAACAUUAAAAUCAUAUAAUGCUAUCUAAUCAUGGCUACAAUUGUUGCAGAAUGGAACGAUUCUUAAUUAUCUCUAAGGGGACUUUGGGAUCAAGCAUCCUUUUGCCCUUCUAUCUCCUUCCUCUAUUAUGAUGUGGGUGGCAAUUUUAGACACCCUCUUAUACAGUGAUUGUAUGAUUGUUUUUUCACAUAGAUGAAAAUAAUUGAGUUUGAUUUUCUUAUCACUUGGUUCUUGGAGAGUUUUAGAUUAUUAAACUCUUAAAUUGAGGCCUGACUCACUUUUAUACCCUUAGAUGUUCUUCGUUUAGUAUUAUGAUAAUCAUAACUCUGAGCAGAAAGAAGCAUUACUAACGAGCUUGAUUUUGUGGUUUUUUGUAGGAGAGCUUCGUUGAGCUUCACAAACAUUAAAGAAUAACUAGCCUUUUGUCAUCUCAAGUAUACAAGUAAAGAUGGCUUAUGCAUAUGGUCCUAGGAGAAACCAUCUCUUUGUUCUAGGGCCUGUGAAUAUCCCAGAGUCUGUGAUACGGGCUAUGAACAGGAACAAUGAAGAUUAUAGGUCCCUAGCUGUGCUUGCACUGACAGAGACUCUUUUCGAGGAUGUCAAGAAGAUCUUCAAGACAACAAGUGAGACAUUUUCUAAUUCCCACAAUAGCUGCAACUGUUGGGCUGUCUUAGUGGGGUGGAGAUGGCACUCGAGGAUUUAGGCUGCCCGGCCAAGCUGGGAAGUAGAGUGGGAGCAGCAGCUGCUUAUCUUCAGAACACCAUCCCAAUGAUCCCUUCGAGGAUAUAAUAUUCAAUCAACAUAGCUUCUUGUCUCAGACUUUCUGUAAAUAUGACUACAUAUCAUGCACUCUUGUGAGGCUUGUUCUCCAUACGUAUUGCUCUGUAGUUGAUUAUUUUAUUUAGAACU